rnacentral:rRNA from 1 species
ACUUUUAGCGUGAUUGGUCAAAGGUAGCGAGGUAAUUUGUUUUUUUAUUGGAUUCUAGUAUGAAUGGAUUUUUUGUUAUUAAAUAUAUUGAUUUUAAAAAGAAUUUUAAAUUUAUUUAAAAAAUAAUAAAUAAAAUAAAACUAAGAAAAGUCUUUAGAAAUUUAUUAUUUAAUUUAAUUAGGGAAAUGAAAUAAUUAAUAUUUUUUUCUUAAUCAAAAAAAAAAAUUUCUCUAGAGUUAACAGGAAUAAAUAUUAAUUUAUUAUUUUUACAUCGAUGUUGUUUUAUUUAAUAUUAAAAAUGAGAAACUUUUGAGUGAGAGACUGUUCUUCUUUUUUUAAUACGUGAAAUUAGUUUAAUU